AUUGAACGCUGGCGGCAGGCCUAACACAUGCAAGUCGAGCGAGUGGCGGACGGGUGAGUAAUGUAUGGGGACCUGCCCGAUAGAGGGGGAUAACUACUGGAAACGGUGGCUAAUACCGCAUACUAUCGGAUGAACCCAUAUGGGAUUAGCUAGUAGGUGGGGUAAAGGCUCACCUAGGCGACGAUCCCUAGCUGGUCUGAGAGGAUGAUCAGCCACACUGGAACUGAGACACGGCCCAGACUCCUACGGGAGGCAGCAGUGGGGAAUAUUGCACAAUGGGCGCAAGCCUGAUGCAGCCAUGCCGCGUGUAUGAAGAAGGCCUUAGGGUUGUAAAGUACUUUCAGCGGGGAGGCGUUACCCGCAGAAGAAGCACCGGCUAACUCCGUGCCAGCAGCCGCGGUAAUAC
rnacentral:rRNA from 1 species